rnacentral:rRNA from 1 species
CGCCUCUUGUCUCCAUAAGAGGUCCAGCCUGCCCAGUGACCUAGUUCAACGGCCGCGGUAUAUUAACCGUGCGAAGGUAGCGUAAUCACUUGUCUUAUAAAUAAAGACUAGUAUGAAAGGCACCACGAGAACUAAACUGUCUCCUUUUUCCAAUCCGUGAACCUAAUAUUUCCGUGAAGAAGCGGAAAUUUCUUAAUAAGACGAGAAGACCCUGUGGAGCUUUAAACAUCAUAAUCAAUGCUAAUAAUUAAACUACCCAGGUAUUCUUACUCCUAACGCAACAUGAUUAUAUGUUUUUGGUUGGGGCGACUGCGGAGAAAACCCACCCUCCGCGAUGAAAGGACCCACCUAAACAAUAAGCCACAGCUUUAUGUAUCAACAAAUUGACACUAUUGACCCAAUAUAUUGAUUAACGAACCAAGUUACCCUAGGGAUAACAGCGCAAUCCACUUCAAGAGCUCCUAUCGACAAGUGGGCUUACGACCUCGAUGUUGGAUCAGGGUAUCCUAGUGGUGCAGCAGCUACUAAAGGCUCGUUUGUUCAACGAUUAAAACCCC